rnacentral:rRNA from 1 species
AGAGCCCCGUCUGGUAGGAAACCCAGCCCAUGUGAUGCUCCCUCGACGAGUCGAGUAGUUUGGGAAUGCUGCUCUAACGGGAGGUAUACUCCUUCCAAGGCUAAAUACCGGCUGGAGACCGAUAGCGCACAAGUAGAGUGAUCGAAAGAUGAAAAGCACUUUGAAAAGAGAGUCAAACAGCACGUGAAAUUGUUAAAAGGGAAGCGCUCGCUACCAGACUUGGGUUCGGCGGUUCAACCGGGGCCAUGCCCCGGGGCACUCCGCCGGCCCAGGCCAGCAUCAGCUUUCCGUCGGGGGCAAAGACGUCGGGAAUGUGGCUCCCUCUCGGGGGAGUGUUAUAGCCCGGCGUGUCAUACCCUUCGGGGGGCUGAGGUACGCGCUUCUGCAAGGAUGCUGGCGUAAUGGUAGCUAGUGACCCGUCUUGAAACACGGACCAAGGAGUCAACCUUAUGUGCGAGUGCCCGGGCGUAAAACCCCAGCGCGGAAUGAAAGUGAACGUAGGUGAGAGCUUCGGCGCAUCACCGACCGAUCCUGAUGUCCUCGGACGGAUUUGAGUGAGAGCAUAU